AGAACAUACAGUAUAUUAUCUAAACGCUAUCGCUGCAUCGACCUUUUUACAGGUUGUACCUUCAGCUCGGACAGAAGUACUCAGGAGUCUUCUUAAGUCUAGAAUGCUAAACUGUUUCAACGGGUCAAUCAUCUCACUCGUCAUGGCGUUUUCUGAUCAUUUGCCAUUUGGUGUGCAUCUGUUUGGACCAGAUGGAGGAUGAUGGCUUUUUGGUUAACAAAAGGCAUCAUUAGUUGAGGAAACAAUCAAGUCUGUCCCAUAAGGAGGACAGCAGAAAAAUCAUUCUUGGGUUUUUCCUUGUGGAAAUUACACCAGGCAGAUGAUAUUCUAUCAAGUGUGAGACGCUUGAGUGUUUGUUACAGCUGCUAAAUGCAGGUGGGAGGCCAGACCUUUCAGUACAAACAUCCGAUGGAGCUGGACUAGUGGAAUUUUCUUCCUUCUCUUCUGAUGCUUUACUAUUUUUUUUAUCUUCAUAUUCACUCACAUCUGAAUACUGUCAUUUUUUUAACUGUUUGCAGUGAUACAGCACAUGGAAUAUCAUGUCACAAAUUUAUCUUUGAAAUAAACAAUUGAGACCUUU